AUUGAACGCUGGCGGCAGGCCUAACACAUGCAAGUCGAGCGGGGUUUUCGGACCUAGCGGCGGACGGGUGAGUAAUGCGUAGGAAGCUACCUGAUAGAGGGGGAUACCAGUUGGAAACGACUGUUAAUACCGCAUAAUGUCUACGGACCAAAGUGUGGGACCUUCGGGCCACAUGCUAUCGGAUGCGCCUACGUGGGAUUAGCUAGUUGGUGAGGAAAUGGCUCACCAAGGCGACGAUCUCUAGCUGGUUUGAGAGGAUGAUCAGCCACACUGGAACUGAGACACGGUCCAGACUCCUACGGGAGGCAGCAGUGGGGAAUAUUGGACAAUGGGCGCAAGCCUGAUCCAGCCAUGCCGCGUGUGUGAAGAAGGCCUUCGGGUUGUAAAGCACUUUCAGCGAGGAGGAAGGGUGGUGUGUUAAUAGCACAUCAUUUUGACGUUACUCGCAGAAGAAGCACCGGCUAACUCUGUGCCAGCCGCCGCAGUAAGAC
rnacentral:rRNA from 1 species